AUUGAACGCUGGCGGCAUGCCUUACACAUGCAAGUCGAACGGCAGCACGGGAGCAAUCCUGGUGGCGAGUGGCGAACGGGUGAGUAAUAUAUCGGAACGUGCCCAGUCGUGGGGAUAACGUAGCGAAAGCUACGCUAAUACCGCAUGCGAUCUAUGGAUGAAAGCGGGGGAUCGCAAGACCUCGCGCGAUUGGAGCGGCCGAUAUCAGAUUAGGUAGUUGGUGAGGUAAAGGCUCACCAAGCCGACGAUCUGUAGCUGGUCUGAGAGGACGACCAGCCACACUGGGACUGAGACACGGCCCAGACUCCUACGGGAGGCAGCAGUGGGGAAUUUUGGACAAUGGGCGCAAGCCUGAUCCAGCAAUGCCGCGUGCAGGAUGACGGUCCUAUGGAUUGUAAACUGCUUUUGUACAGGAAGAAACACUACUUCGUGAAGUAGCUUGACGGUACUGUAAGAAUAAGGAUCGG
rnacentral:rRNA from 1 species